GGACAGCCAUCGCCGAGUCCCCGUACGGCGCGAGCCAGGGGAGCCGGGGACCCACACCAAGUCCCUGGGGUGAAUCGGACGCCCGCGCGUGCAAGCGAGGGGGUCCGUAGGAGACCUUCCUGCUCCGAACCCGUCAGCUAACCCGGUAGGCGAGAGGGAAGGAAAGG
rnacentral:sRNA from 1 species